UACGUAGGGUGCGAGCGUUAAUCGGAAUUACUGGGCGUAAAGCGUGCGCAGGCGGUUUUGUAAGCCAGAUGUGAAAGCCCCGGGCUUAACCUGGGAAUGGCAUUUGGGACUGCAAGGCUUGAGUGCGGCAGAGGAGACUGGAAUUCCUGGUGUAGCAGUGAAAUGCGUAGAUAUCAGGAGGAAUACCGAUGGCGAAGGCAGGUCUCUGGGCCAUAACUGACGCUGAGGAGCGAAAGCAUGGGGAGCGAACAGG
rnacentral:rRNA from 1 species